AAGAGGGGGAGCCUUCAAUAUCUCGGGAUUGUCACAGUGCUCUGAUGGGAGCGGGUGUGAGUGCAGCUCGGCCGCCUUGGCUCUCUCAUCCUUUGAGGAGCGUUCGGAAUGGCGGCGGCUCCUUGCGGCGGGAGCGGGCGUGAAGGCGGCUUCCCGUUUCAGGCAGGAGUGGUGCCUGCCGCCGCGUACUGUAAAGCCCUGACGAAGAGGGCAGUUGGAAAUGUCAGUACUCUUCAGCUUAGCUGGAGCACCGUCAGUUUUGUAGGCGUUUUCCUCGGGUUUCUCGAAGCCGCGGGUCUCGCGGCGCGUGGCAGCGGGCGCGUGCCGUGCUGCUCCUCCGACUUUCCCGCCCACCUCGAGCAGAACCCAGCACCGGUGCUGCAGGGUCUUGUCUGCUAGACUGUUCUUCUAUCGUGUUUCUCUUAAAACAAGCACAGUACUCGUUCUGGUGGCGUUUUAGCUUCAUGCUGCUCGACGAAGUGGGCAGUAGUUACGGUUCGGUUGGAGCUUGGAGUUCCGUAGCACUGUGUCUGCUCGCCCAGCUGAAGAGCCGAGCUUGGGCGGUGCAGCCUGAAAGAAGUGCCUCCUAAGGUCCUCAUACACCAGUGCUGUUCUUUCGUGUGCCUGAUGCUGCUCAGAGUUGGUUUUGUAGCUAACCAGUUAUGUGCAUACGGGGCUCAUAAUACCAUCAGGUUCUGCAAGAGGGCUGGAAUUUAACUGAAGAAUAUUGUGGCAAGCACUGAUGAGAUGGGAAGGCACAACAGUCGUGGGAAGAUCAAUGGUAGCUGCUUAAGAUUCAGCAAGUGUCAGUGAAUGUCUGUGGGUGUGAGCUUUUCAUCAUGGAGGAAUUCAGUGAGAUACCUUUGCUUCCAGCGCACUUUGAUGUCAGAUGCCAUUUGGUCAGACUGCUGCCAUCUGUUGCACAUCAACAAAAAGCAAUGGAAUAUUGAUACGCAAGGGGAGUUUUGGAGAACACUGCCAAGCAAAAACUUAUCAAGGCUUUCCAUAUAAAGAGGAGCCCAAAAGAGUAAGAUGAAAUAUUGCUAUAUGAUACAUUGAGGAUGACAGAGUUUUAUGGUUCAUAUCAAGAAUAAGAAAAAUAUGACAGCAACUAAACAUAAAAAGCUGAUCUCAGAUGACUGGCUGCAGUUUUAAAUGAAACAUACUGAGACAUAUCAGUGCAAAAGAAUAGAUGGAUGGCAAGGCUGUUAAACUUCUGUCGUGUAUACAAAGUUGAAUUAAGUACUGUUCCUCAGUUUGAGUCCUACAAAAUGUUCUAUGUUGAUAAUUCAGAAUGUCAAACAUUUUCAAAUAAUAUUUGGGUAAAUGUAUCUCAAAAUUGUGGAGAAAGAACACUUGCAAUUUUUUAAUGUAACAGUAUGCCUGCAAGUUGCUUCAUCUUCAAAAUGCUACAUUCUCCUUCAGUUUCUACCCAUGUUUUUCUUUUUACUUUGUGGUAUCUGACUUUCAUUACUAUUCUUUUUUAACUUGUUUCCUAUUAAGUAGUGUUUGCUUUUAUUUGAUGCAUUUCUUAAUUGUUCUUCAUGAAGAUUCUCCUGAGCAAUUAUGUCACACUAUAAACUUCCAAGGAAGAGGUUUAGCACGCAGCAUAAGCCAGUGUUCUCCCCUUUCUCUUCUCUUCCUUUGGCUGCUACAUUUUAUCGGUCUUUCUGGCAGUUUCUCAGUUGGACAAACCAAACAAAUAGGGCUGGGUCAUUGCUACAAGAGGGGCGUUUGUGUGCAUGCACACAUUUGCAGGCUUCACUUCAUUGUGACUUCUCUGCUGCAUACUUGGCCUAAUUUAGACAUGAUGGGGAAUACUGGAUUCUUUCCUGAAUCAGUAGCUACAGGUUUUUUUUGUUUUUUUUUGUUUGUUUGUUUGUUUGUUUUGUUUUGCUGGACCAUUGCAUUAAAUUGAUGUUCAGAGAACUGCAAAUGCUGUGACCUAAAUCAUGAUAAAAAUAGGAAACAGCACAGUAGAACAGAGUAAGAUAGGGAAUAAGCUGUUAAGUUGCUUACUGAAUCUUCUGGAACAUCAUGAUUUUGGAGGAGACAUCAGAAAUUAUCUAAGUAGCUCUGGCUGUUGGUUGUCAGGAAGAGUAGUACAGCCUCCUACUUGGAUUAAUUCUACCAUUCAUCAUCAGGCUCUAAUUCAUGUCAUGAAAUCAGCAGAAAUUUGCCUAUGAGUAUCUUGAAGAAACAAACCUAAUGAAGAAACCCAGAUGAAGCCAAUUAAGUAUUUUCUUUGAUAGUUUUUCUUUGCCUUAAGUACUGAAAAAUAAACCGAUGUAAAAAGCAUUUUGUAUCACUUCAGCGUAAGAAAACUACUUUUAGGGAUUUCACAGAUGUCAACUCAGGUUCUGUCAAGUCAGUUUGGGUUGUGUCAGUCCCACUCUGUUUCAUAACAGGACAUGAGCAAUGCAAGGUGACAUUAUGUUGCAGAUGGGGAAUAAUAUCUAAGGCUUCCUCAAACUUACAGCAGAAUACAUGCCAUUUUUUCACAAAGCAGAUGGAUUCAGCAGAGAAGGCUUUUAAACAGAAACAGCUCUGCUGAUGUCCUUAGAACUGUUUUCCUGAUUUUUUUUUUUUUUUUUUUUUUUUUCCUGUUUAUUUGUCUUUAAGGUAAUCCUGUCGGUAAAUAUAGUACAGAUAGGAAUAGAUUUUUAAACCAAACUAAACUGCUACAGUUACCUGAAAUGCUGUAGUAAACAGGUAAUUACACUUUUUCCUUUUGUUACACAGUAAUGUAUCCUCCCAAGUGGAACAGCUUUAUCAGAUGAUAUACCUGAGGAUGAUGUGGCUGUAGCAUUUUUUUCAAGUCACUUCUAAAAAUUUCCUUGCAUAUUCGUAUUUUUUCCCUUCAUUUUUCUAUUUCAACUUUUAACUCAUUAGUUUAAAAUAAAUUUAAAAAAAUAUCUAGGAAUCCUUAUGAGUGCUUAGAGAAUUCUGAAGUGUUUUUACUUUUUUAUGCUGAGGUUUCAUUUUCUUUGCAAGGUGUUUUUAAACUGUCUAAGAAAUGCAGCCAUACAAACCACUCAGUUGCUCAUUUACUCUUUGUCCCUUCAUAUCUUUAUUCUUUUGUUUAUGUGUGCACACCAUUAGCUGGCCAUAGUCUAUGACAUGCAUUACAUGUUCCUAGUUCUUGUUCAGAGAUUAUUCUUGUAUCUUUAAUGUAAUCUGUAUCUUUUUUUUUUUUUUUUUGCAUUGUCUUUCUGCUCAUAAUUCUGUAUCUACUGAGACACAACUUUAUUUUUUCUCUAGAGUCACCCCAUAGUUACUGCAUGUACUCUAGAAUAACAUAAUUAAGAUCUAACGUAGGUUAUAGGUUUUCAUUGCUACUGUUUGUGAACUGUGGUUUAGCUAAAUAUGGUAUAUAAUGCACUGAAAUAAUUCUUUGAGAGCCUGAGAGAUUCUCAUUUUAUGCAGCUGGUUUUCUAAUCAACACAGAGCCCCUUCAUAUGUAUUACUUGAUUUGGAUAUUCUGCAAGGAAUACCGCUUAGGUUUCCUAUACUUCUGGAUGUUAUCAGGAGUUUACCUUAGGAGGGAGCAUGAGAGCUUAUAAUUCCAAAGCACCUGCUUUUUCUUGCCCUGUCACUCUGUGCACAUACAGGUGUGUACUGAGAAAGGAGCAUCCAGAAGGCAGAUCUGUGUAACAACUGGUGAGAAGGCAAAGAAUGACAAGUGAAUGUAUUGGAUGGAUCCAGUGAAGUAUGAUUUGAAUGGGACAGGAUAGGCUUUUUCUCAUUCUGUUUCUUCUUUGAACAUCUAAUUGAUCCCUCUGAUUCUCCUUUAAGAGGAAUUCUUUCCCAGAGCUGCAAGGCCAGUCUCCUUUCAAGGUUAAUUGCAAAUGUGGUGAGAGACAGACUAGCUUGGGGCAGCUCCAGUGAUACUGUAAUUAGUCUCAGAAGGAAGGCAGAAGGGCAACUGCCAGGAAGAGUGUACCCAAAUCUAUAUUGUGCUCAAAGGCCUGCGUCAUAGGGGAGAUUUUGGCCAUACUGCAAAUGUGGCACCUGUAUUGUCAGAGAAAGCAGGAGUGUGUGUGUGUGCUGCUAUGUGGGGUGGCCAUGGCUGCCCACUUCUUCCUGUGUUUUCUUUCUCCAUGAGUGUUUGGCGGCUCGGGGCUUUGCUGUGAUUGCAUCAUAGUGUGAAGCAUUUUUGAAAAUAAAUUAUGUCAAUGUAAGCCUGUUUACAGUGUGUCUCAAAUCAGCUUGGGAGUAGUGAUUGCUUCAGAAAAUGUUUGCUCUUUGUGUUUUAAAAAAAAAAAAAGUAAUUGGAGUGUUGGGGUUUAAUUUGCAGUGCAACAGGUGCUGCAGUUCUGGGCCGUUUUCAAUCUCUGCCAUCACUGUUGGGCAAAUUGACAUGGUUCAGUGCUGCAGCACAUUGUUUUCUCUUUUGCUUUAAUCUGUGUUGCUCUUCUUAAUCAAGCUGCAGUUUCCAGAUUGUUUUCUGCUAUAUUUAUCAGUUUUGAAAUUCAAUAUUUAGUCUAUGGGAGGUCAAACAACAUGUAUACAGACUUGAAAUAUUAAAAUCUCUUACUGUGUUUUCAAAACAUUGAUCCAGGAAUUCUUCAGGAAUUCUCUCUCAUCUUUCCAAGCUCAAAAAUUAUCUACUUAAAUGACAAUGAAAAAUGACUAUGUAAUAAAAAUACAAUGUGCUGUCAGCAUGCAGUGCAUUAUUUAUCUUGUGCCAUUUUUCCUAAAUUAUAUUGGUCUCCACCCCCCUUUUUUCCACUUUUGAGCACUAAUCUAUUUUUCUGGUAUUGAGUCUUCAUUUGAUUUUUAUCAACCAUAUGUAACAAAUGGCAUGGAGAGAAUAGGAGUUUAAUAGAAGGAGGUUUUUGCUAUAGUUUUUCUUCUGAAAGCCAAAAAUAACUUCAGUAAGUGGAUGGUAGUCCCUGUUCAUAGGUUUAUCUCUAUGUUCCUUUGGUUCUGGGUGGUAGGUUUUUACCUCACUUAUAUUUUCUCACAAUACGUAUCUAUUCAACCACAAAUAAAAGUAUUACUGUAAUUCUGUUUUUUGUGCCAAUACCUGCUGCUAUCUCAACUAUUACUCCCUCUAUAAUGAUGUAAAAGCUGAUGCGUUUCACAUAACUUGGUUUUUAUGAGCUCAUUUUCCCACAUAGAAGAAUGGCUAAGUGGGUAGCCAAAGAGCUUAUUCAAGCUAAAUAUUCCCAUGGUUAACUGGUGUUGAUGAGGACAGGUACCACGUCUGCUCAGUGUGAUGUCUGUCAGUGAUGAAAACAAAAAUUAGAAUUUGUUUACACCUUUUAUCUGGUUAUCACUACGCAUCUCUCAUGCAUAAAAUGCUUUUUUUCUGAUUUCCCCAAAAUGCUGUUAGUUAAGUAUGAAGCAUAACAGCUUAAAUAUUAUUUGUAGAUUUUUCUGAAGACUUAUAUUGGAUGCCUGACUGCGCUUCAGCAGAAGGCAGAAAAAGUAACUAAUGAGAUUUUCAUUGUAAAACUGCACUAUCGGCUGUCAAUGGAAUUGACUGAGAUGCAUAUAAAAAUAAAUUAGAAUUUCUUGUACAUUAAAAUUAAUGUAGAAAUGUCAAAAAGCAAAUUUGAGAAGGAAAAACAGGAAAUGCAAAUAAAAAU